AACGAACGCUGGCGGCAUGCCUAACACAUGCAAGUCGAACGAGAUCUUCGGGUCUAGUGGCGCACGGGUGCGUAACGCGUGGGAAUCUGCCCUUUGGUUCGGAAUAACAGUUGGAAACGACUGCUAAUACCGGAUGAUGACGAAAGUCCAAAGAUUUAUCGCCAGAGGAUGAGCCCGCGUAGGAUUAGCUAGUUGGUGUGGUAAAGGCGCACCAAGGCGACGAUCCUUAGCUGGUCUGAGAGGAUGAUCAGCCACACUGGGACUGAGACACGGCCCAGACUACUACGUGAGGCAGCAGUGGGGAAUAUUGGACAAUGGGCGAAAGCCUGAUCCAGCAAUGCCGCGUGAGUGAUGAAGGCCUUAGGGUUGUAAAGCUCUUUUACCCGGGAUGAUAAUGACAGUACCGGGAGAAUAAGCUCCGGCUAACUCCGUGCCAGCCGCCGCGGUAA
rnacentral:rRNA from 1 species